GAGUUUGUCAUGGCUCAGAUUGAACGCUGGCGGCAGGCCUAACACAUGCAAGUCGAGCGGAUGACGGGAGCUUGCUCCUUGAUUCAGCGGCGGACGGGUGAGUAAUGCCUAGGAAUCUGCCUGGUAGUGGGGGACAACGUUUCGAAAGGAACGCUAAUACCGCAUACGUCCUACGGGAGAAAGCAGGGGACCUCCGGGCCUUGCGCUAUCAGAUGAGCCUAGGUCGGAUUAGCUAGUUGGUGGGGUAAUGGCUCACCAAGGCGACGAUCCGUAACUGGUCUGAGAGGAUGAUCAGUCACACUGGAACUGAGACACGGUCCAGACUCCUACGGGAGGCAGCAGUGGGGAAUAUUGGACAAUGGGCGAAAGCCUGAUCCAGCCAUGCCGCGUGUGUGAAGAAGGUCUUCGGAUUGUAAAGCACUUUAAGUU
rnacentral:rRNA from 1 species